AUCUACUCCAUCUCCUUGACUCCCACCCCACCGAUCUACGCCGCCGCCGCCACGCUCACAGGAAACCUCAUACGCCUUCGCCAUCGAGUUCAUUCGCCGCGCCCUGCUCCCAACUUCAUCCCCGUUUCUCCACUCUCCGUCGUUGCGUCGACCUACUCGCCACCCGGGCUCUCCCUAAUUCACCGACUUGGUCCGGCGGAGACCAUAAGGAUGCUGAGGAGCACCAAGCCCGUAGCGCCGUACAGGCUGAGCCAGGUCAGACCGUUUCCCGGAGUCCCCAGGGCGAGGCGGAGACGGCCAGACACAUCACUCAUUGGCGGCCGCGUGUACACGUAACACACGUGGAAGCGCGCCCUGGUGUCUAACUCGGCGGCUCAUAUCCUGAUUUCCUUCCUGGCCUUCAAUUCAAUUGGCUGCAAGCUCUCAGUUCCUUCAUCUGAUGCGAUGAUGCCUCCUGUGUCUUUUAUGGGACAAAGUGUACUCGAUCACUACCAAGGAAACAACUUCAGGUUUAUAUUUGUGGAUUAUAGAUACGUACUAUGACAAGUAAUUAAUGCUAGAUAGCAAGACAACCACAGAGCUCUGUCCUCACCCCCAUCGAUGGUCGCGGUGCUCCACCAACCGCCGCCCUCACCCCAACAGACGACAGAAGCACUCCUUCGACCACCAUCACAAAAUGCAGGAUGAUAUGCAAGUCAUCUUUUGGAUGGACAAAGAAGUAUCAAAACAAUUCUAGCUACCUUUGAGAAGUCAGGAGAAGAGCCAACCAACAAAUGUUCCCUAUUUUGAUGAAGAGAGCUAUACAAUUAUGUCCAGUAUUUAGAACUACACUCAUUUGUUAAUCUAGUACAUACUGUCUAUUGAUGCAACAUGUUGUAUGAGGUUGGUUUGUGGAUAGUGCUAAUUUAUUCGGGAAUGUGAAAUAGCCUGCUGUGUUGAGAACAUAUGAUGUGAAAAUACUAUGUGGUAGACUUGUUAAUGGAAAGAUGGGUUGAAACAA